UUUCCGUAGGUGAACCUGCGGAAGGAUCAUUACUGAGUGAGGGCCCCUCGGGGUCCAACCUCCCACCCGUGUUUAACGAACCUUGUUGCUUCGGCGGGCCCGCCUCACGGCAGCCGGGGGGCAUCUGCCCCCGGGCCCGCGCCCGCCUAAGCCACCUGUGAACGCUGUCUGAAGUAUGCAGUCUGAGACAAUUAUUAAAUUAAUUAAAACUUUCAACAACGGAUCUCUUGGUUCCG
rnacentral:misc_RNA from 1 species